UACAGAGGCUGCAAGCGUUAUUCGGAUUCACUGGGCGUAAAGGGUGCGCAGGCGGCCAAGUGUGUGAGGCGUGAAAGCCUGGGGCUUAACUCCAGAAUUGCGCCUCAAACUACAUGGCUAGAGCAUUGGAGAGGGUAGCAGAAUUCACGGUGUAGCAGUGAAAUGCGUAGAUAUCGUGAGGAAUACCAGAGGCGAAGGCGGCUACCUGGACAAUUGCUGACGCUCAGGCGCGAAAGCGUGGGGAGCAAAAGGG
rnacentral:rRNA from 1 species